GGAGGAGGAGGAGAAAGGAGGAGGAGGAGAAAGGAGGAGGAGGAGAAAGGAGGAGGAGGAGAAAGGAGGAGGAGGAGAAAGGAGGAGGAGAAAGGAGGAGAGGGAGAGGGAGGGGGAGAAGGGGAAGGAGAGGAAGGAGAGGAAGAAGAGGAAGAAGAAGAAAGUAGUAGUUGAAAUUGUUGUUUUGUAGCAUCUACAACUUAGUCCUGAUGAAAGAGAGCCCAGACUGACGGGCAGCUGGUGUGGGCAGCUCCAUCCCUGAGGCUUUCAGGAAAGAAGCAAGGAUCACAAGAAGCCUACCCAGCUGAACCCAGAAUGGAGGAGAGAGGGUGGAGUAUAACUGGCGGGCAGCCCCACAUUCCCUGGCACAGAAUAAUUCAAGUAGGCUGACAAGGAAAGCCACUCCUUAAUGUCACUCUUCUCUACCCAAAUUCCUUACUUUUACCCUGUUGGCCAGAACCCACUUUCACUUCCAUACUUACCUGCCCUCCUUCCUUUCCUGAAACCCCUUCUUCAGGCCAGUUAUGGUCUCUAUUUUCCCUAGGCUCAUCACGGAAUGUCUCAAGAAGAUCAGAUAGUGGGCAUGGGCUCAGCUUUCUGGAGCGCUCUUGCACGACUUCCUGACCUUCUCUCAAUAGAAAUCUGAGCCAUAGAGCUCUACUGAGUAAAGCAGGGGCCAGGAAAAGCCAAGGUCAAAGACCAUCGCAGGUGGCUUCCCUCUAGCCCAGGAACAGUGCCCUCUCCUAAGCUGCAUGGCUGGGCUCAUAAAAUCUCAUCCCCACCCCAGAAGUAAAGAUCCCAAGGUCAGGUUGAGUCAGCUGAGGAUGAGACAGCCCUGCCACCUUAGAUAUGAAGGCCAGCACCCUGGUCCCCUCACGGUGUGCACGACUGGCUGAAUCAGCCUCAGGAGGCCCUCUGUGAGGGCGGUAUCUAAUUUUGUGCUGUGUUGCAUAUUCAGUGUGUGCUUAGUUUUAAUAACAGUAAUGAAAAUAAAUAGAACCCAGGUCCCCCAGUGCUUGAUCCAGCCCUCUUUUCACCAGAUGGGCUCCUUCUGUCUUGCCUAUAAAAAAUGUCACUAAAAAUAUCUCUCUUUUGAGUCUCUACCUUGCUCCGUAGGAGGUGACCACAUUAGGACAGCCAAGAGGCAAUGUCGUAGCUCAGCCAAUGGCCAGCAUCCUCCCGUGAAGGCUGAGCCUCUUGGGCAUUUUUUGCCUGCCUGUGGGGCACAGUGAGAAGCUGGAAAAUACCUCCCAGGCAUCAAAUGCUAUGAGAUGCUGAGCUCAGAGAGAGCUGUAGCAAAUCCUGGGGCAGAGUGACUCCUCACAAACACCUUCUCCUACAAAAGAGGACACCUACAGUCCCAUCUCACAAGAUGCAUCUCCUGCAGUCUCUGUGGUGAGAAUCCAGGUCCAGGAGGUGUUGCAGCUCCACGCUCACUCAUUCAUCAAAGAACACUUGCCAUGUGCCCCCAGUGUGCUGGGCAUGGCCAACUGGGCAUGAGAGACCCAUCCCAGGAAGCUUCAGGAAGGGCUGCUGAAGAAAGGAAAGGGUGGAAGGAGCCACUAACCAGGCUAGGUAGAGCCAGCAAAAUCGACCUGCACAGUCCACGCAGGACCACCUUCAUGACCACAUGCCUGGACCUCCACCCCUGCCACCUUUUCUUACCUUGGGGGCACUGUGAACAGGUUCUCACUAGGAGCACACACCAGCACUGCACAGGGCCCACUCCACCCUCCAAACCCCGGGCUGAGAAGGAGGCUGUAGGGGGAGACAAGAUUCUAUGGCUCUGCACGCCUGUCAGCAGGUGAAACCCAAGGAAACACCUGACAGGGAGCCCUGAGACCUUCAACACCUGGCCACGCUGAAGUGCUGGGAGCAGGCACCGGAGAAGAGCUGGGAGAGCCAAGAGAAGAUCAGAGUGUAUCUGCUAAAAAGGUGGGCCCCAUCCAAUCAGUUGAAGUCCUGACUGGAACAAAAGACUGACCUCCCUUGAGAAAGUGGGAAUUCUGCCAGCAGACAGCCUUCAGACUUGAACUGCAAUGUUGCCUCCUCCCUGGGUCUCCAGCCUGCCAGCCAACCCUGCAGAUUUUCGACUUGCCAGCCUCCAUAAUCGUAUGACCACUUCUUUAAAAUGAAUCUCUCUCUCUCUCUGUUUCUGGACAUACACACACACACACACACACACACACACACACACACACACACACACAGACGCACACACGCACACAACCCUUGUUUCUAUUUCUUUGGAGAAUCCUUACUAACGCGGUUUCCCAUCUUGGCUCCUUAAUGCCUGCACAAGUCUGGCGAGGGAGUAGAGGGAGAGGAGUGGGAGAGCUCGUCUGAGCUCUGAGGAGCAAUGAAUAGACAUGUCAGGAGUGAGCAGUUAGGCAAAGCCAGGGGCCACAGUGAUGAUGACAGGCAGGAGCCAAAAGCCAAGCAAG
rnacentral:lncRNA from 10 species